CCUACGGGUGGCAGCAGUGAGGAAUAUUGGUCAAUGGACGAGAGUCUGAACCAGCCAAGUAGCGUGAAGGAUGACUGCCCUAUGGGUUGUAAACUUCUUUUAUAAAGGAAUAAAACGAGGCACGUGUGCCUUUUUGUAUGUACUUUAUGAAUAAGGAUCGGCUAACUCCGUGCCAGCAGCCGCGGUAAUACGGAGGAUCCGAGCGUUAUCCGGAUUUAUUGGGUUUAAAGGGAGCGUAGAUGGGUUGUUAAGUCAGUUGUGAAAGUUUGCGGCUCAACCGUAAAAUUGCAAUUGAUACUGGCAGUCUUGAGUACAGGUGAGGUGGGCGGAAUUCGUGGUGUAGCGGUGAAAUGCUUAGAUAUCACGAAGAACCUCGAUUGCGAAGGCAGCUUACUAAACUGUGACUGACAUUGAUGCUCGAAAGUGUGGGUAUCAAACAGGAUUAGAUACCCGAGUAGUC
rnacentral:rRNA from 1 species